rnacentral:lncRNA from 1 species
CGUACUUUCUGCCGUCAAAAUACGGUGCUCGCGAUUCGAGAGGACACUGUCGACAAAGAGCGUAGGAGUACAUCUGUACGGAACUGUUAUGGCUAUGCUUCAUUAACGACAUGCACGGUUGUGCGAACGAAGAAAACAUUCUGGAUUGAGAUGGACGGACCUCGAAAUUACUUCCUGGUGCGGCAGCUGCUUGUAAAAGCUCCUGGAGCACGAGCGCCGAAACCUUCCAGCAGGACGAGGGGAAACAAAGGGUAGGAAAGCAGCUAGAGCAGGUGGGGAAAGUGGGCGUACGAAGACAGGGGCUGAGUGGGUGGGAGGGAGAGGAGAUAGAGAAGCGGGUCUAUGUAAAGCCUCGACCUCCCCAUCCCCCCUGUGCAUGACAGGGCCAGGAACGGGGCACCGUCCAGGUCGGCAUGCUGUUAGGUGUGCGACGCUAGUCGUACUUAGUGUAGGGCUCCCCGUAGUUAUACCCGCUCCCGGCAAUACUCAUUCGAGGCGUGCCUGCGGGGUGCCCAGGAAGACGACGCGCUUGCGUUCAUUACCGCUUCCCGGCGCUAUCAGGGACGGGACACCGCUGAUAUUAGACGAGAAGGGCCGAUGGAAUUUCCCCCCUAUGAAUCCAAGCGCCACCGCGAGCCGGGCCAUAGAACCCCUCGCCAUUGGGAGUCGAGUCCCUCCCUGACGGCUUUACGUGCAGGUGUAAAGCUGUGCGGGUGAGCUUGUUGUCAGGUUCGGUUUUCUCAACGAGGAGGCAUAUUUAUCAGCUCUCCAGGAGACGGUGUUCAAUUUCGGCCUGAUUUCUCCACGGGCAAGUUGCAACUUCGGCUCGGUUGUUGACCAUGCAUCAUAAGGUGGUCUCGUAAUGAUAACACACUCGCAUACUGUUACAUUGCGGCGCAUACCAUGGUUGCAACUGAGCGCACCUG